UGAAAACAGUAGUAUUGGGAGUAAAUAUGUAAAACAACAUUUCCUACAGUUUUUUUUUUUUUUUGUUUACCAUGUUGAUUAGCUAUGUAAGUCAUGUCACAAAAUGGUGCCAAUAAGUGAGUGCUCAACAUUUUUGCAUUUCCUUUGAAAUGUGGCCGAUUUUUAUUCUGUAUAAAGCACCAACAGAUUUUGCAGCCCUGUACAUUAGGUAGACUAAAAAGCAAGAGUUGGAAGAGAAGGUACUGAGGAUCUUGCUCUGGAUUUAGCCUCAAGGUUACAUAAUUACACUAUUGAAUUAACCAUUUAAGUCAAAAUAGUAUUAUAUUUGACAAUUUAUGGAAUGAUUUAUCAAGUGAGAACAUGUGACCUUGUGUGUGCAAAGUGCUAAAUGUUGAGAAACAUUAUAUUGGUUUAUAUGGGGAUUUUACUUAUUUGACACAUUAUCCCAGAACAGUAUCUGUAUUUGCCUUGAUAAUUUCCCCCGUCAUAAGCUUUAAAUUAGUAGUAGUGCUAUUUUUAUGGGUCAUAAAAUUGCAUACCACCCAAAAGUUCAAGUGAACAAAAGGGGACACUUUUUCAUUUUAGUGGUGUGGGGUACGGUUGGCUGUUCUGAGGAAUAUUAGGUGAAUUACGAAUUACAAUUUAUGCAACUAAAAUAUAAUUUAGAACUAGAACCAUGUAUCUAAUAUACACAGACUGAUUUCUCGACACAUUACCGUAAAUUGUAUUGCUCUGGAGCUCUGUUAUACACUCAUUUGGGCCCUAAAUAGGGACAUUUGAGAGGUAUGAAAUUGCAGAUAUGAUCGCAGUACAUGUGACAAAGCUUUAACUAUAGCCUCUGUGUAUUUGUGAAGCACGUACACCAGAGUGCUAAAGGAUGCUGUGAAUUAACUUUGACAAUGGAAUAGGUAGCACAUGCUCUUCUGUUCAAAUAUAAAGCCUCCUAAAUUAAUAUGAUAGCUAGGCAUUAUGCAACAAAAAGACCUCAUGUGGUGCAGAUGAACUAGUCAUGUGAGUUUUUUAAAUUGUUAGUCUGUACUGUUCACAAUACUGCUAGUCCAAUAUAAAGACUGUUUUGAAUGCUCUGCAUACAAUAAGUAGAUUUAGAAGAAGAAAAAAAAACUACAUCUGAAUUUAAAAUGUAUGUCGUAAGAGAUGCAGAGAUGGAUAAUAAUCAAUGAUUAGAUACAAAUAAAAUGCAAAUGGCAGGGCUGGUGGCACUGUGCUCAUUAAACAAAAAGCUAUGUUAUUUUGGUAUACCAAUGAUUUUUGCCAUCUACCAGUUAUACCCCCCUCUGUUUCUACUUUCAGAAAUAUGGAGAUUUUAAGGUCCAGUUGUGUUUGACCAAGAACGUUACUGUAGACUGGCAUUCUGAAUCUCACAAUAUAAGUGUAAGCUUUCUUGUGAUGUUUUAUGAUGUGAAUUAACUAUACAUUUCACAUAGGCCAGACUUCUAACUUUCUAUAUAGCAGUGAGUAGGGGCUCGUAAUAAAAUGGAAAUUUUGUGUAACGAUUAUUGAUCAUUUAAUAGUUAUUUAACCCCUUAAGGACACAUGACGUGUGACAUGUCAUGAUUCCCUUUUAUUCCAGAAGUUUGGUCCUUAAGGGGUUAAAGGCAGCUGUAUGUUGAACUCUUUUAUUCUGGGGAUUAAGGAUCCACUGUCUAGUUUUUUAUUUAUUCACCGUGUAUUAUUAUUAUUAGCAUAUUUACAUAUCAUCAGUAUAUUCCGCAGCUCUUUACCAGGGGUAAGCAACCUUCAGCACUCCAGAUGUUGUGGAAUACAUCACUCUUUAUGUUCUUACAGCCAUAAUGCUGGCAAAGCAUCGGGGGAGAUGUAGUUAAGACAAUAUGGAGUGCUGAAAGCUGCUUACCCCUGGUCUAUACAAUCAAAGAAAAGGGGUAUUUGGAGAUUGAAUAUAUAUAUCGUUGGGUGUCUUGUUAAAGGACAUUUACUGGUAAGGUGUUCUCACCAGCAUUGAAACCUAAUUUUCCCUGUUCUAUGAUAUCCUAAAGUUUCUAGUAAUUAUACUCACCCAUCUAUUUGCCUUUAUUUAUACUUUCUACUUUUUCUACCUUGCUGGGAGCUGCCACUUUGUAAAUGUUGGUCCAUAUCUGUGGUUUGACCUUCUCUGGGCAUGUGCUUAGUCAUGCACACUCUACAGAUAAGCACAAGUCAUGCUUUCUAUUACAUGAGAUUGAUGUUCUAUCAAAUUCCCCUACCUGUGAAAAUUCCCUACCCUCGUCACAUCCGGUGAGGGGA